rnacentral:rRNA from 1 species
GACGAACGCUGGCGGCGUGCCUAAUACAUGCAAGUUGAGCGAUGAAGAUUGGUGCUUGCCCCAAUUUGAAGAGCAGCGAACGGGUGAGUAACGCGUGGGGAAUCUGCCUUUGAGCGGGGGACAACAUUUGGAAACGAAUGCUAAUACCGCAUAACAACUUUAAACAUAAGUUUUAAGUUUGAAAGAUGCAAUUGCAUCACUCAAAGAUGAUCCCGCGUUGUAUUAGCUAGUUGGUGAGGUAAAGGCUCACCAAGGCGAUGAUACAUAGCCGACCUGAGAGGGUGAGCGGCCACAUUGGGACUGAGACACGGCCCAAACUCCUACGGGAGGCAGCAGUAGGGAAUCUUCGGCAAUGGACGAAAGUCUGACCGAGCAACGCCGCGUGAGUGAAGAAGGUUUUCGGAUCGUAAAACUCUGUUGGUAGAGAAGAACGUUGGUGAGAGUGGAAAGCUCAUCAAGUGACGGUAACUACCCAGAAAGGGACGGCUAACUACGUG